UACCAUCGCAGCAAUAGAGGACGGGCAUCAAACAGAGUGCCCGCUACGGCCGCGCGAUAACCGUCUUCUCUACCGAUGGCGACCUCUUCCAGGUCGAGCACUCCCUCGAGGCCAUCCGCAAGGGCAACUCGCUGCCGUCGCUGUCCGAGGCACCGGCACCGUCGUCCUCGGCUCGAGAAGAAGUCCACCCCCGAACUCCAAGACUCCCGGUAAUUGGUUAGGUUCUCGUGCCACCCGAUUCGUUAGGGUUCUUUUCAUCGUAUCGUUCCUUUUCGCUGCACAUCGGUGCGCAAGAUCAUGAGCCCCGUCACGCACAUUGACAUCUCGGCCUGGAAGGACAAAGCCACCGGGAGGAACUUCAACUCGCUGCGGGAGUUGUUGGAGAAGAACUACAUGGAGACCUCCGGCCACGAAACCGUUGGGAGCAGAGAAAGCUGCAGUUGAAGCUGCUAAGGAAGCUCCCUCUGAAGACACCUAAUUUUGAUGUUCUGAUAAUUUCCACAAACUUCCUCCUUUCUUUAUUGAUGGCUGAAGAUCUAGUCGAUCAUCCACUAUGGGCAUCAUUUCCGGAGGCAGAGAAUCUCCUGGACCUCUCAAGUUGGACUCCAUAUAAUAUUCCUACUAUUUCAGAGCUUAUCUUCGCUCAUUCUCAUGGGUAUCCCGGUUUUCCUUAUUUCAAGAUGCACCUUUUGCACUUAUUGGUGGGAACCUCACUUUCUGAUUGCCCAUACUUUUUGCUCUAUGUGAACAUAUUUAGAACUAGAUUCCACGUUGAUGAACUUUUCCUUGUCUACA